rnacentral:tRNA from 1 species
GCCUGGCUGGCUCAUUCAGUAGAGCAUGCGACUCUUGAUCUCAGAGUUGUGAGAUCGAGCCCCAUGUUGGGCA